rnacentral:rRNA from 1 species
UACGUAGGGGGCAAGCGUUGUCCGGAUUUAUUGGGCGUAAAGAGCGUGUAGGCGGCCAUGUAGGUCCGUUGUGAAAACUCGAGGCUCAACCUCGAGACGCCGAUGGAAACCAUGUGGCUAGAGUCCGGAAGAGGAGAGUGGAAUUCCUGGUGUAGCGGUGAAAUGCGCAGAUAUCAGGAGGAACACCGGUGGCGAAGGCGGGUCUCUGGGCCGAUACUGACGCUGAGGCGCGAAAGCGUGGGGAGCAAACAGG